rnacentral:tRNA from 1 species
GGAGGGGUCGCUUAGUGGCCUAGAGCGGAAGUCUUGAAAACUUCUGUAGCGCAAGUUACCGUGAGUUCGAAUCUCACCCCCUCCG